CACGUAGGGUGCGAGCGUUGUCCGGAAUUAUUGGGCGUAAAGAGCUCGUAGGCGGUGUGUCGCGUCGGCCGUGAAAACCUGCAGCUUAACUGUGGGCGUGCGGUCGAUACGGGCAUCACUGGAGUUCGGCAGGGGAGACUGGAAUUCCUGGUGUAGCGGUGAAAUGCGCAGAUAUCAGGAGGAACACCGGUGGCGAAGGCGGUGCUCUGGGCCGGUACUGACGCUGAGGAGCGAAAGCGUGGGUAGCAAACAGG
rnacentral:rRNA from 1 species